CACGUAGGGGGCGAGCGUUGUCCGGAUUUAUUGGGCGUAAAGAGCUCGUAGGCGGCUCGGUAAGUCAGGUGUGAAACCUCCAGGCUCAACCUGGAGACGCCACCUGAUACUGCCGUGGCUAGAGUCCGGUAGAGGAGCGUAGAAUUCCUGGUGUAGCGGUGAAAUGCGCAGAUAUCAGGAGGAAUACCAGCGGCGAAGGCGGCGCUCUGGGCCGGUACUGACGCUGAGACGCGAAAGCGUGGGGAGCGAACAGG
rnacentral:rRNA from 1 species